AUCCAAGUAUCAAACGAGAUGGACCAAAUUCUGAGCAUCAAAAAAGGAAUUCUGCAGGAACGCUUCUUUUGGACAUCAAAGAUACCUUUUCAAACCCUAAUCUGUGAACAUAAAAGGGGAAGGGAGUUGGUGAGAGAAAGAAGGUGAGAGGCAAGCAACAGAAAGAGGAGGAGGCGACCACCAAAAGAAAACCUAAUACGAUAAAGGGGACGAACCUUUUUGCAAAAAACGGCGGGGAACUUUGAAACCUAACAAAGAGAGCUCAUUGCAAGCUAGCUGCCACCGCCGAAUCACAUCCAAAGGUUUUCACGUGAAAAGGGAAAAGAGGCAGAAAGGGCAAAAGGCAGAGCAAGAGAAGAGGAGGAGCUUGAAGCUGCGGAAUUUGCCGGAUUACUCAGGUAACGAGAAAUGAGUUGAGUAGAAGCAAUUGCUUGGAGUCUAGAGUAGUUCUUACGGGUCAUGCUCUGAUAGAUGUAACAUCGGGAGGGAAUGUUUUAAUUAAUUUGAUAUUGUUUGUUGAUUGAUUUACAUGUAUAGUGUUACAUGUUUUACAUUGAUGUUGAAUUGAUUCCGCUGCGAAUUAUGCAAAAGACCUUAUUUUGAUUUAAAUAAAUGAGCAUGA